rnacentral:rRNA from 1 species
ACAGAGUAGAUCGUCGGCAGCGUCAGAUGUGUAUAAGAGACAGUCCUUCAAGUGUCUGACCUAUCAAACUAGAUGGUUCGCGCUAUGCGCACCAUGGUGACAACGGGUGACGGGGAAUCAGGGUUCGAUUCCGGAGAGGGAGCAUGAGAAACGGCUGCCACAUCCAAGGAAGGCAGCAGGCACGCAACUUACCCAAUGCCGACACGGCGAGGUAGUGACGAAAAAUAAUGAUACGGGACUCAAUUACGAUGUCCCGCAAUUGAAAUGAGUACACUCUAAAUCCUUUAACGAGGAUCUAUUGGAGGGCAAGUCUGGUGCCAGCAGCCGCGGUAAUUCCAGCUCCAAUAGCGUAUGUUAAGGUUGUUGCGGUUGAAAAGCUCGUAGUUGGAUCUCGAUGUCGGGAUGGCGGUUCGCCCGUAGUGGCGAUCUACAGCCAGUUCCCCGGCGCAAAGUCUUCCAAAGCUCCCUUGAUGCCCUUCGCUGGGUGUCCUGGGCGCUCGGAACGUUUACUGUGAAAAAAUUAGAGUGCUCAAAGCAAGGCCGGUUGUGCCCGAAUACUGGUGCAUGGAAUAAUGGAGAACGACCUCGGCUCCACCUGGUUUACGGUGCUCGAGGUAAUGAUUAAGAGGGGCUGCCGGGGGCAAACGUACUGCGACGCGAGAGGUGAAAUUCUGUGACCGUCGCAGGACGAUCUAAAGCGAAGGCAUUUGCCAAGAAUGUCUUCCUUAGUCAAGAACGAAAGUCAGAGGUUCGAAGACGAUCAGAUACCGUCGUAGUUCUGACCACAAACGAUGCCAACUGGGCCGCUGUCGGAGUUACUUAAUUGACUCGAUAGUGGCCCUCCGGGAAACCAAAGUCUUUGGGUUCCGGGGGGAGUACGGUUGCAAAGCUGAAACUUAAAGGAAUUGACGGAAGGGCACCACCAGGAGUGGAGCCUGUGGCUUAAUUUGACUCAACACGGGAAACCUCACCCGGUCCGGACACUGGAAGGAUUGACAGAUUAACGCUCUUUCUUGAUUCAGUGGGUGGUGGUGCAUGGCCGUUCUUAGUUGGUGGAGCGAUCUGUCUGGUUAAUUCCGUUAACGAACGAGACUCUUGCCUGCUAAAUAGUCCGGGGAUACUUAUACGUAUCGCCCCGCGUCGACUUCUUAGAGGUACAAGUGGCGAUUAGUCACACGAGAUGGAGCAAUAACCUGUCUCUUAUACACAUCUCCGAGCCCACGAGACCGUACUAGA